UUAAUUGAUUAUAUUAUAUUUAUUUUUUGAUAAUUUUAUUAUUUAAUAAAAAUAAUUUUGAAGGGUAUGUGUCUUAGUAUGGUUUAUAGAAUAGAUUAGAUAUAUUAUAGUUUAUUAGUAAUGUAAGUGACUUAUGAAAUAUUUAUUUAUAUUUAUAAAAGUAGAUUUGUUUUAUUGUACCUUUUGUAUCAGGGUUUAUCAAAAUUUUAGUGAUUAUUCACUUAUCUCGAUUUAGGUUGAUUUAUAAUCAACUAAAAGUUAAUGUAUCAUAAUUAUUUUUUAGUAAAUUAUAGAGAUGAAAUGUUAAUCGUUUCCUAAAAUAUCUAGUUUCUUAAGAAAAAAUUUAAUUUUUUAUGGUUAUAUUGUUUUAUCUAAUUUUUUAGUUUAUAAUAUUAACCUAUUUAUUCUUUAGGGGAUAAGCUCUAAAGCUUGACCUAUAAUUUAAUAAUUAUAAGAUGUAAGAGUAGGCUUUAAACCAGCUAUCUUUAAGACUACGUUUUAGUUCAUUAUUAUUUAUUUUGAUUUUAUAAAAUUUUUAGGUUUUCUAUUAAGAUUUUAAAUUUAAUUUUAAAAUUUAAGUAAUAAUGAUAGAAUUAGUAUAUUAAUUUUGUUUAUAAUAAUUGUUUGUGUUAAUUUAUUAUAAGGAACUAGGCAAAAUUGAUUCCCGCCUGUUUAUCAAAAACAUGUCCUCUUGAUAAUAUUUUGAGGUUUGGCCUGCUCACUGACAAGGUUUUAAAGAGCCGCGGUAUUUUGACCGUGCAAAGGUAGCAUAAUCAUUAGUCUCUUAAUUAGAGGCUGGAAUGAAUGGCUUGACGAGGAAUCAACUGUCUCUUAAUAAAUUAUAGAAUUUAACUUUUAAGUUAAAAGGCUUAAAUUUUUCUUUAGGACGAGAAGACCCUAUAGAGCUUAACAUUUUAUUUAUAUAUAGUUUUUAGAUAGUCUUUCUUUAUUUAAUGUGUAUGUUGUGUUGGGGUGAUAUGGAGAAUAAAUAAACUCUUCAUUAUGAAAUCAUUGAUUUAUGUUAUUAUGAUCCAUAAUUUAUGAUCAAAAGAUUAAGUUACCUUAGGGAUAACAGCGUAAUUGUUUUCGAGAGCUCAUAUCGACAAAGCAGAUUGCGACCUCGAUGUUGGAUUAAGAAAAAUUCUAGGUGUAGUAGUCUAGAAAUUAGGUCUGUUCGACCUUUAAAUUCUUACAUGAUCUGAGUUCAGACCGGCGUGAGCCAGGUCGGUUUCUAUCCUAAGAAUAAUUGUUCAUAUUAGUACGAAAGGACCAUAUGAACGAAAAAUUUUUGUAGUUUUUGAUUAAAAUUAAUUAUU
rnacentral:rRNA from 1 species